rnacentral:rRNA from 1 species
CAAUAGCGGAGGAAAAGAAACCAACAGGGAUUGCCCUAGUAACGGCGAGUGAAGCGGCAACAGCUCAAAUUUGAAAUCUGGCUUCGGCCCGAGUUGUAAUUUGUAGAGGAAGCUUUUGGUGAGGCACCUUCUGAGUCCCCUGGAACGGGGCGCCAUAGAGGGUGAGAGCCCCGUAUAGUCGGAUGCCGAUCCAAUGUAAAGCUCCUUCGACGAGUCGAGUAGUUUGGGAAUGCUGCUCAAAAUGGGAGGUAAAUUUCUUCUAAAGCUAAAUACCGGCCAGAGACCGAUAGCGCACAAGUAGAGUGAUCGAAAGAUGAAAAGCACUUUGAAAAGAGGGUUAAAUAGCACGUGAAAUUGUUGAAAGGGAAGCGUUUGUGACCAGACUUGCGCCGUUCCGAUCAUCCGGUGUUCUCACCGGUGCACUCGGGGCGGCUCAGGCCAGCAUCGGUUUUGGUGGGGGGAUAAAGGUUCGGGGAACGUAGCUCCUCCGGGAGUGUUAUAGCCCCGGGCGUAAUGCCCUCGCCGGGACCGAGGUUCGCGCAUCUGCAAGGAUGCUGGCGUAAUGGUCAUCAACGACCCGUCUUGAAACACGGACCAAGGAGUCAAGGUUUUGCGCGAGUGUUUGGGUGUAAAACCCGCACGCGUAAUGAAAGUGAACGUAGGUGAGAGCUUCGGCGCAUCAUCGACCGAUCCUGAUGUAUUCGGAUGGAUUUGAGUAAGAGCGUUAAGCCUUGGACCCGAAAGAUGGUGAACUAUGCUUGGAUAGGGUGAAGCCAGAGGAAACUCUGGUGGAGGCUCGCAGCGGUUCUGACGUGCAAAUCGAUCGUCAAAUCUGAGCAUGGGGGCGAAAGACUAAUCGAACCAUCUAGUAGCUGGUUACCGC